rnacentral:rRNA from 1 species
GACGAACGCUGGCGGCGUGCCUAAUACAUGCAAGUCGAACGCACAGUUUAUACCGUAGCUUGCUACACCAUAGACUGUGAGUUGCGAACGGGUGAGUAACGCGUAGGUAACCUGCCUGGUAGCGGGGGAUAACUAAUGGAAACGAUAGCUAAUACCGCAUAAUAUUGAUUAUUGCAUGAUAUUGAUUGAAAGAUGCUAUUGCAUCACUACCAGAUGGACCUGCGUUGUAUUAGCUAGUAGGUGAGGUAACGGCUCACCUAGGCGACGAUACAUAGCCGACCUGAGAGGGUGAUCGGCCACACUGGGACUGAGACACGGCCCAGACUCCUACGGGAGGCAGCAGUAGGGAAUCUUCGGCGAUGGACGAAAGUCUGACCGAGCAACGCCGCGUGAGUGAAGAAGGUUUUCGGAUCGUAAAGCUCUGUUGUAAGAGAAGAACGGGUGUGAGAGUGGAAAGUUCACACUGUGACGGUAUCUUACCAGAAAGGGACGGCUAACUACGUG